GUUCCUAAAAGAAAGGGAUAAAAAAAAGAAGAAAAGAAAAAGAAACUGUCUAGCACAUGCACUAUAUUUGAAUAAUUAGAAUAAAUUUUAGAUGGUUAGCUAGAAUUUCCACACGGUGAAGAAAUUUCCUAGCGUAAAUCUAUGGUCAAGAUAUAAGAGUGAAGUUUGGUGCUGCCUAGCUUUCUGCCGUGUCUCGGGGCCAAAGUUCUGGAGCAAGAACCCAAGUGGUAACCUCAAUAUCUCAGAAUGUCUUCGGGUUUUGCUUUACCGCCCCCACCCCCCGCCAACAGCAGUGGGACGCCAGUCAUCCUCAGUAAGUUGUUCUUUAUGAAAUGAAAGGAAUGUAUUACAUUAUGUGAAAUUCUAGAACCCUCUCUGUAAAUAGAACUUCUGAUCUUAUUGAUUGAAGAAAAGAAUACAAUGAAUGAAUGAAUUACAUCACUACUCCUAUUUAUAUACAAUCUAAGCAAAUAAUGAAAGUAACUAACUUCGCAAUUGGAGGGAAAAUCUGUUACAAAUUAUCCUAUCUAUUAGACCACGUGUACAUUGACCAAAAAUCUGUAACUGCUUCUUCUAUCCAUGUGGCAGUGCUUCUUCAUACGUGUGAAUGAACUGUUCAUAGUAAGGAACUACUUCAAUCAAUUCUAGUAGCUUUGCACUAACCUAGUCACUCUGUGUUUUAGUUGUUUGAUCACUGCACUAUUCUCCAACUCUAGUUUUAGGCUUGUUCUUGUCUUGAGUGCACUCUUUCUUGCUUUCAACACUCCCCCUCAAGAGCAAAGCUCUUGCUUCUUGAUUCUGUGAUGAGUACUCAGGAUAUUGAAUGUUUUGAGCAAAGAUAUUAAUAACUCCUAACCUUCUCAGUAACCUUAGAAAAUUAUCCACUCCAAGAGCUUUAGUAAAAAUAUUUGCCAAUUGAUUCCUAGAAGUCACAUGAAAAGUCUUGAUUGUUCCAUCUAGAACUCUAUUCCUCACAAUAUGACAAUCUGCCUCAAUAUGCUUGGAUUUUUCAUGGAAGACUGAAUUAGUAUAUAUAUAUGCAAAGCAGCCUAGUUAUCACAGUACAUUAGGACUGGUUUGUCAUGUGAGACAUGGAGAUCCUUUAGCAAGUACAACAACCAAGUUACCUUACAUGUGGUUGAAGCCAUGGAUCUAUAUUCUGCUUUUGCAGAAGAUCUAGACACCACAAUCUGUUUCUUUGAUCUCCAAGAAACCAAAGCAUUACCAAGAAAAACACAAUAACCAGUGAGUGAUUUUCUGGUAUGAAGGCAGCCUGCCCAAUCUACAUCACAAUAGGUUUUAAGUUGCAAAUCAGAGUCCACAGGGAAGAAGACUCCUUGUCCUAGUGUUCCUUUGAGGUAUUGUAAAAUUUUGGUAGUUGCCUUCAUAUGUGGCACUCUAGGCUGUGAUAAGAAUUGACUAAGUCUAUGAACAGCAUAAGUGAUGUCAGGCCUACUAAGAGUUAGGUACAUCAAUUUCCCUAUCAAUCUCCUAAACUGACCCGAGUCCUUAAGCAAUUCUCCAUCACUCUUUGAUAAUUUUAACUGCUGCUCCAUAGGUGUUUUGGCAGGUUUGCACCCAAUCAUCCUUGCCUCUUUAAGUACCUCAAGUGCAUACUUUCUUUGGUUUAAGCUAAUACCCUUAUCACUUCUAGCAAUUUCUAAACCUAGGAAGUAUUUAAGGUAACCAAGAUCUUUAAUGCCAAAUUUCUGGUCUAAAACAGUUUUUACUGUAAAUUGGCUAUAUCAUUACCUAUGUUAGGACAUAGGUGGAACUUGUUAGAACAUAUGUUAUUGUAAAUUGGCUAAUUCUUUGACAAAACACACUUUACUUGUAAUUGGGUAGAUCUAGGAUGGAUUUAGUACUUCAAGGAACAAGAGUUUAAGUCUAGUAUUAAAGCCAUGCAAAUCUGUCCAAGAAACAAGUGAAAAAGUGUUGUUCAUUAAAGCUCGACAGAUAAUAUCUAUCAAGGUUUAAUAAGAAUUCUCGACAGCUCUCGACAAAAGCUAUAUUUAUCGAGAAUUACGAAAUUCAGAUUUUUAGAUCUGUUUUUCACGCAUAUCCAAGUUAUUUGUGUAGGGUUUCUUUUCUCACAACCCUAGACAUAUAUAAUGAUUAUUUUAAGGGCCGUCAAAAGUGAUUCAAGGUGAUGCAACUUGAUGCAAAGUGAUUAUUCACUCACAUUGUGACCAGAGACAAUUGCCCUAGUUCAUCAUCUUGCUUGUAGAAGUUGCUGCGUUUGUGCAUCGAGGGUUUUGUAACCAAGGAGCUUCUUGAUCUUCAUCAUCUGAAUGAACUGAAGAACUUCGCAGCCAACAUUUUUCUCAAGUUGGUGUGUUAGUCAUGUACUUGGAUCGGUGUAUCGAUUGGCUAGUCAUAUACUGGGAGCUGUGCAUUGAAAGGAGAGAUUGUCACUACAUUACAAGUCCAAUUGUGUAUUGGGGUAUGGGUUCAAUUGUAGGAUGGUAUUAGGUACUAGGAUUCCUUUUACUUGUAAUCGCUUAUUUUGAUAAUAGUGGAUUUUCGGGAGUGGUGAUCUUAAAUUCACUCGGUGGGGUUUUGUCUCGGUGGUUUUCCCCAUUCAUAAACAAAUCACUUGUGUCAAAUUUAUUUUCCGCUGCAUUUAACUUAG